rnacentral:rRNA from 1 species
AGAGACCCAAUCAAAACUCAUGUUGUCUUUGCAGUCUAAGCUUUAUUAUUGAAUUGAUAAAACUUUCAACAACGGAUCUCUUGGCUCUGGCAUCGAUGAAGAACGCAGCGAAAUGCGAUAAGUAAUGUGAAUUGCAGAAUUUAGUGAAUCAUCG